rnacentral:rRNA from 1 species
CCUACGGGAGGCUGCAGUGAGGAAUAUUGGUCAAUGGGCGCGCGCCUGACCCAGCCAAGUAGCGUGAAGGAUGACUGCCCUACGGGUUGUAAACUUCUUUUAUAAAGGAAUAAAGUGAGGCCCGUGUGCCUUUUUGUAUGUACUUUAUGAAUAAGGAUCGGCUAACUCCGUGCCCGCAGCCGCGGUAAUACGGAGGAUCCGAGCGUUAACCGGAUUUAUUGGGUUUAAAGGGAGCGUAGAUGGGUUGUUAAGUCAGUUGUGAAAGUUUGCGGGUCAACCGUAAAAUGGCAAUUGAUACUGGCAGUCUUGAGUACAGUUGAGGUAGGCGGAAUGCGUGGUGUAGCGGUGAAAUGCUUAGAUAUCACGAAGAACUCCGAUUGCGAAGGCAGCUUACUAAACUGCCACUGACAUUGAUGCACGAAAGUGUGGGUAUCAAACAGGAUUAGAUACCCUUGUAGUC